rnacentral:rRNA from 1 species
GAUGAACGCUGGCGGCGUGCCUAAUACAUGCAAGUCGAGCGAACAGACGAGGAGCUUGCUCCUCUGACGUUAGCGGCGGACGGGUGAGUAACACGUGGAUAACCUACCUAUAAGACUGGGAUAACUUCGGGAAACCGGAGCUAAUACCGGAUAAUAUAUUGAACCGCAUGGUUCAAUAGUGAAAGACGGUUUUGCUGUCACUUAUAGAUGGAUCCGCGCCGCAUUAGCUAGUUGGUAAGGUGACGGCUUACCAAGGCAACGUUGCGUAGCCGACCUGAGAGGGUGAUCGGCCACACUGGAACUGAGACACGGUCCAGACUCCUACGGGAGGCAGCAGUAGGGAAUCUUCCGCAAUGGGCGAAAGCCUGACGGAGCAACGCCGCGUGAGUGAUGAAGGUCUUCGGAUCGUAAAACUCUGUUAUUAGGGAAGAACAAAUGUGUAAGUAACUAUGCACGUCUUGACGGUACCUAAUCAGAAAGCCACGGCUAACUACGUG